AGGGAAUCUUCCACAAUGGACGAAAGUCUGAUGGAGCAACGCCGCGUGAGUGAUGAAGGUUUUCGGAUCGUAAAACUCUGUUGUAAGGGAAGAACCAGUACGUCAGGCAAUGGACGUACCUUGACGGUACCUUAUUAGAAAGCCACGGCUAACUACGUGCCAGCAGCCGCGGUAAUACGUAGGUGGCAAGCGUUGUCCGGAAUUAUUGGGCGUAAAGCGCGCGCAGGUGGUUUCUUAAGUCUGAUGUGAAAGCCCACGGCUUAACCGUGGAGGUUCAUUGGAAACUGGGAGACUGGAGGGAAGAAGAGGAAAGUGGAAUUCAAAGUGUAGCGGUGAAAGGGGUAGAGAUUUGGAGGAACACAAGGGGGGAAGGCGAUUUUUUGGUCGGAAAUUGAGGUGGAGGCGCGAAAGAAUGGGAGCAAACA
rnacentral:rRNA from 1 species